rnacentral:misc_RNA from 1 species
AUGAAGAACGUAGUGAAAUGCGAUAAGUAAUGUGAAUUGCAGAAUUCAGUGAAUCAUCGAAUCUUUGAACGCACAUUGCGCCCGCCAGUAUUCUGGCGGGCAUGCCUGUUCGAGCGUCAUUUCAACCCUCAAGCCCCCGGGCUUGGUGUUGGGGAUCGGCGUGCCCUCGCGGCGCGCCGUCCCCUAAAUCUAGUGGCGGUCUCGCUGUAGCUUCCUCUGCGUAGUAGCAACACUCGCACUGGAUCGCAGCGCGGCCACGCCGUUAAACCCCCCACUUCUGAAAGUUUGACCUCGGAUCAGGUAGGAAUACCCGCUGAACUUAAGCAUAUCAAUAAGCGGAGGA